GCCCUUGUAGCUCAGCUGGCAGAGCACCACCAUGGUAAGGUGGGGGUCAGCGGUUCAAAUCCGCUCGAGGGCU
rfam:Spirochaeta coccoides DSM 17374, complete genome.